GGCCUCAGUAACGGCGAGUGAAGCGGCAACAGCUCAAAUUUGAAAUCUGGCCGCAAGGUCCGAGUUGUAAUUUGCAGAGGAUGCUUUUGGCGAGGUGCCUUCCGAGUUCCCUGGAACGGGACGCCAUAGAGGGUGAGAGCCCCGUACGGUUGGACCACCGAGCCUCUGUAAAGCUCCUUCGACGAGUCGAGUAGUUUGGGAAUGCUGCUCUAAAUGGGAGGUGUACGUCUUCUAAAGCUAAAUACCGGCCAGAGACCGAUAGCGCACAAGUAGAGUGAUCGAAAGAUGAAAAGCACUUUGAAAAGAGGGUUAAAAAGUACGUGAAAUUGUUGAAAGGGAAGCGUUUAUGACCAGACUUGGGCUUGGUUGAACAUCCGGCGUUCUCGCCGGUGCACUCUGCCAGUCCAGGCCAGCAUCAGUUUGUCCCGGGGGAUAAAGGCGGUGGGAAUGUGGCUCCCCCGGGAGUGUUAUAGCCCGCCGUGCAAUGCCCUGGGACGGACUGAGGAACGCGCUUCGGCACGGAUGCUGGCGUAAUGGUCAUCAACGACCCGUCUUGAACACGGACCA
rnacentral:rRNA from 1 species